GACGAACGCUGGCGGCGUGCUUAACACAUGCAAGUCGAACGGACAGGCCCUGCUUUUGUUGGGUGCUCGUGUGGCGAACGGGUGAGUAACACGUGUGUAACCUGCCCUUGUCUUUGGGAUAACUUCUGGAAACUGGGGCUAAUACCGGAUAGGAUCUCCUGCUGCAUGGUGUGGGUUGGUAAGUUUCGGCGGUUGUGGAUGGACUCGCGGCUUAUCCGCUUGUUGGUGGGGUAGUGGCUUACCAAGGCUUUGACGGGUAGGCGGCCUGAGAGGGUGACCGGCCACAUUGGGACUGAGAUACGGCACAGAAUCCUACGGGAGGCAGCAGUGGGAAAGAUUGCACAAUGGGCGGAAGCCUGAUGAAGAAACGCCGCGGGCGGGAUGACGGCCUUCGGGGUGAAAACAGCUUUCGACGGUGACGAAGAGUGAGUGACGGUAAUGGGUAAAGAAGCACCGGCUAACUACGUG
rnacentral:rRNA from 1 species